rnacentral:rRNA from 1 species
CCCGUGCGGUGUGGUGGCGGUGAGGGGCGCAGAGUCCAGGGGGAAACGACUGUUUACCAAAAACACAGGUCCGUGCGAAGUCGUAAGACGAUGUAUACGGACUGACUCCUGCCCGGUGCUGGAAGGUUAAGGGGAACUGUGAGUGUGAUGCGUAGCGGUGAACUUAAGCCCCAGUAAACGGCGGUGGUAACUAUAACCAUCCUAAGGUAGCGAAAUUCCUUGUCGGGUAAGUUCCGACCUGCACGAAUGGAGUAACGAUUUCCCUACUGUCUCCACCAUGAACUCGGUGAAAUUGCAUUACGAGUAAAGAUGCUCGUUACGCGCAGCAGGACGGAAAGACCCCGGGACCUUUACUAUAGUUUGGUAUUGGUGAUUGGGACGGUUUGUGUAGGAUAGGUGGGAGACGUUGAUGCGGCCACGCUAGUGGUGGUGGAGUCGUUGGUGAAAUACCACUCUGAUUGUUCUGGUUAUCUCACUGUGGACCGUGAUCCGGUUCAAGGACAGUGCCUGAUGGGUAGUUUGACUGGGGCGGUCGCCUCCUAAAGGGUAACGGAGGCGCCCAAAGGUUCCCUCAUCCUGGUUGGUAAUCAGGUGGUGAGUGUAAGUGCACAAGGGGGCUUGACUGUGAGACUGACAGGUCGAGCAGGGACGAAAGUCGGGACUAGUGAUCUGACGGUGGCUUGUGGAUGCGCCGUCACUCAACGGAUAAAAGGUACCCCGGGGAUAACAGGCUGAUCUUGCCCGAGCGCUCAUAGCGACGGCAUGGUUUGGCACCUCGAUGUCGGCUCGUCGCAUCCUGGGGCUGGAGUCGGUCCCAAGGGUUGGGCUGUUCGCCCAUUAAAGCGGCACGCGAGCUGGGUUCAGAACGUCGUGAGACAGUUCGGUCCCUAUCCGCUGCGCGCGGAGGAAUCUUGAGAAGGGCUGUCUUUAGUACGAGAGGACCGAGACGGACUGACCUCUGGUGUGCCAGUUGUUCUGCCAAGAGCAUGGCUGGUUGGCUACGUCGGGUUGUGAUAACCGCUGAAAGCAUCUAAGCGGGAAGCACGCUUCAAGAUAAGGGUUCCCACAGGUGAUCCUGGUAAGGUCCCCGAGAGAUGAUCGGGUUGAUAGGCCAGACGUGGACGCAUCGUAAGGUGUGGAGCUGACUGGUACUAAUAGACCGAGGACUUUCAUUA